CUCACGCCAUUAGUAACUUCCAUUGGGCGCAUGUUUAUCCAAUCCCUUCCAGCGCUAUGGUAUUUUCUUGGUUUAUUGCCUUACAAUCGAAAAUAUUCUUCAUCUCUUCCAUAAUUUCGAUGAAUUCAGCUGUUUCUGGAGGUGCUUUGUGUGGAACGAGAAGGUAAAUUGGAUUGGAUUGGAUUGGAUGUUCUUGUGGUGAGUGUUAAAAUUUAUGCGAGUUUUCUCCUAUAUCGUUAAUCAACUUUCACUCGUCUUGAAGAACAAAAUUGGCGAUUUCGGCAUUUCAUAGCUUUGAUCGAUGUACAUUAAGAGGGUGUUCGGGUUACAGGGUGGUUUUGUUCGUCGUAUGAUGGAGAGUUUUAUGUGAACUAACCAAAGGACUGUGCUGUGACAACCAAAAUCAAGUUGCCUGAGGAAGCUGCUUGGGAAGCAAACAUGUACACCAUGUAACCAAUUAUUCAUUCUCAUCAGCUCCAUUUUUUAAAAGGAUAUUACAGCUUGCAAAUCAAAACUUAUAUUUAUUUAUUGCAUUUGAAAUGACGUGAAGAGUCAAUCUUUCGAUCAAAUGAUCGAAGCUAAAUGUUUAAACUAGUUGAACUAUGUUCAGGUCGACAAAACUUAUAUAGUUAUUUGAACAAUACUUAUACACGGCUUAAUAGGAGCUUCGGUCUAUGUUCCUCGUUGCUCUA